rnacentral:lncRNA from 1 species
CUUAAACCUAUGCUACUCCAAGUGUGGGCCGUGGACUAACAGCAUGGGUGUCACCUGGAAAUUAGUUAGAAAUGCAAAAUCUUGGGCUCCAUCCCAGACCUACUGAAUCAGAGUCUGCCUUCUAACUAGAGCCCCAACGGGUGUGCAUGCACAGUAGCAUUUGAGCAAAUCCCAGACUUCACAUGUGGCACGUGAUUGGCAAUGCGCAUCUUUGAUAUAGAGAGACUAUCUUCCAUAACCACCAGGCCAUUAUCACAACUAGUGAAAUAAACAGUAACUCCCAUUCUGAAAUGAGGAGACAGCCCCAGAGAGGUUCUGCUCCUUGGCCCAGGUCCAAGAGUCAUCAGAACCCCAGAUUCCAGCUAGGAAUGUAGAGUAGCAUUUGAACCCAGACCCUUCUGGCCACACUCCUUUCUUCCCUUCACCCUCACUAUACUGAGGGGCUUUUAGCUAAGGCUGUUGCCUUCCUUUAUCAAGGGCAGUCCAGAGCCCUUUGCAGAGAGCUUUGUAGACACCAGACUCAUGGGCUGCUUGCUCCCUCUCUCUGAAUGACUAGAGUGGCAACAGCAAUGCCUUGGAUGAUGACCAGAUGACCAGAUGACCAUGGUCAACCUCUCAGUCAGCAUAUAAUGAUGUGAGAACAGAGGGAACUGCUAGCUGCUGGGGCAGGGGCCGGCCUAUAUCCAGAGCUGACUUGCCACGGACGUGUUGUGGGCUGGGCCAGCCCCUCCCUUCCUUGGAACCUCUGCCUCCUUCUCCGAGAGGCCAGGUAAUGUGAGCUGGGGCCCUGGUCCCAAGGCAGUGGAGUGUGCCAUGUGCACCGUCACAAUGCCCAGCUGGUGGGCCAUUCUGGGUGCUAGCUUGGUGGUGUUUGCUGAGUAACCUCAUUCCUCCUCCCUGUCUGGACUCCAGCAGGGAGCUGUGUGGUGAGGAGCACCUGCUUGCUAGGAGGUACCGAAUCAGAAAUGGAGGAUGGGUUCUUUGAGUUCACUCUGAUGAAGCAGAAUCCGGCCUAGUAUUCUUGAGGUCCUGCAGGGGCCUGGUCCUAUUCUGGGGGCCCUGGGGGAGCCCAGGGAAGGGCAAGUCUGGACAUGACCCUCUGGGGGGCUGGCAGGCUGAAGUGGAGGGAGAACUUGAAGAAGACCCUUCCCUGUCAUCGGUUCAAGUUGUGCAAACUCCUCAUUUUAUGGACAGGAAACUGAGGCAGCACAGGAUGAACUCGAGGUGUCUCAGGGCUUCUCUGGCUCUAAUGGUGGAGGUGCUGUGUCCUGCCCAGAUGAACGGCCAUGAAUGUGCUAAUGGGAAUGCUCCCCCACCCAUCCGCUGAGCUCACCCCAUCAGUAACAGGGCAGCUGUGGCUGUAGGCUCAGGGGUCAGGUGGCCAGGGCUGAAGCCCUCACUCUGUCUCUCACCAGGCAUGGACCUCAGGUGACAUGUGGAGUAGCUUUGAGUCUUGGCUGCCUCUGUGGAACUAGGGAGUGAUCAUCAUAGCUCCCACCUCAGAGCACAGUCCGGAGGAGUGACUGUGGACUAUGACUUCACUGCAGCUGGGACAGUCUCCAGCACCUAAUGCAGGCCCUGCCUGCUAGUGGUUCCCAGGGAAUAUUAGUCAAGUGAUUGAAAGGUGCUGCCUGUCGGUAUACAGUAAAUGUCAACUGAGUGCAGGUUUACUGCAACAGGAGGUCAGGGCUGGAUGCCCACAUUGCACAUCUGCAGGCCAUGGUGAUGAGGAAAUGUGUACUCUAAGAGGUGAGGCUUAGUCCUGGCCUCAGAGGAUGCUGCACAGGCAGAGAAGAGAGAAGCAUUUUAAUUGCUUUCCAAAAUUAUUUAUUAACGUGCUUGACUUAGUGGAAGGCUGUCAAUCUCAGGAAGACCUUCA